GCCAGGGGUGGUGGCACACACCUGUAGUCCCAGCUACUCAGGAGGCUGAGGCGGGAGGAUCACUUGAACCCAGGAGUUCAAGGCUGCAGUGGGCUGUGAUCGAGCCACUGCACUCUAGCCUGGGUGACAGAGCAAGACCCUGUCUCUA
rnacentral:SRP_RNA from 1 species